AGAGUUUGAUCAUGGCUCAGGAUGAACGCUGGCGGCGUGCAUAACACAUUCAAGUCGAACGAAGUUAAGCGAGUAGUAAUACGAGCUUAACUUAGUGGCGGACGGGUGAGUAACGCGUGAGCAACCUGCCUUUGUGAGGGGGAUAACGUUUGGAAACGAACGCUAAUACCGCAUGAAGCAUAUGAGAUCGCAUGGUCUUAAUGCCAAAGAAUUAUCGCACAAAGAUGGGCUCGCGUCUGAUUAGAUAGUUGGUGGGGUAACGGCCUACCAAGUCGACGAUCAGUAGCCGGACUGAGAGGUUGAACGGCCACAUUGGAACUGAGAUACGGUCCAGACUCCUACGGGAGGCAGCAGUGGGGAAUAUUGGGCAAUGGGCGAAAGCCUGACCCAGCGACGCCGCGUGAGGGAAGAAGUCCUUCGGGAUGUAAACCUUAGUCGACAGGGACGAAGCAAUGACGGUACCUGUAGAGGAAGCCACGGCUAACUACGUGCCAGCAGCCGCGGUAAUACGUAGGUGGCGAGCGUUAUCCGGAUUUACUGGGUGUAAAGGGUGUGUAGGCGGGAAGGCAAGUCAGAUGUGAAAACUAUGGGCUCAACUCAUAGCCUGCAUUUGAAACUGUUUUUCUUGAGUGGAGUAGAGGUAAGCGGAAUUCCGAGUGUAGCGGUGAAAUGCGUAGAGAUUCGGAGGAACACCAGUGGCGAAGGCGGCUUACUGGGCUCUAACUGACGCUGAGGCUCGAAAGUGUGGGGAGCAAACAGGAUUAGAUACCCUGGUAGUCCACACUGUAAACGAUGAUUACUAGGUGUGGGAGGUCUGACCCCUUCCGUGCCGCAGUUAACGCAAUAAGUAAUCCACCUGGGGAGUACGACCGCAAGGUUGAAACUCAAAGGAAUUGACGGGGGCCCGCACAAGCAGUGGAUUAUGUGGUUUAAUUCGAAGCAACGCGAAGAACCUUACCAGGUCUUGACAUCCAACUAACGAGAUAGAGAUAUGUUAGGUGCCCUUCGGGGAAAGUUGAGACAGGUGGUGCAUGGUUGUCGUCAGCUCGUGUCGUGAGGUGUUGGGUUAAGUCCCGCAACGAGCGCAACCCCUGCCAUUAGUUGCUACGCAAGAGCACUCUAAUGGGACCGCUACCGACAAGGUGGAGGAAGGUGGGGACGACGUCAAAUCAUCAUGCCCCUUAUGACCUGGGCUACACACGUAAUACAAUGGCCGUUAACAGAAGGAAGCGAAGGCGCGAGCCGGAGCAAACCCCCAAAAACGGUCUCAGUUCGGAUUGCAGGCUGCAACUCGCCUGUAUGAAGUCGGAAUUGCUAGUAAUCGCGGAUCAGCAUGCCGCGGUGAAUACGUUCCCGGGCCUUGUACACACCGCCCGU
rnacentral:rRNA from 1 species